rnacentral:rRNA from 1 species
CCCUUAGAUGUUCUGGGCCGCACGCGCGCUACACUGAUUCAUGCAACAAGUUUUGUCCUUGGCUGAUAGGCCUGGGUAAUCUUUGAACGUGAAUCGUGAUGGGGAUAGAUGACUGCAAUUAUUCAUCUUCAACGAGGAAUUCCUAGUAAACGCAAGUCAUCAGCUUGCAUUGAUUACGUCCCUGCCCUUUGUACACACCGCCCGUCGCACCUACCGAUUGAAUGGUCCGGUGAAAUCUUCGGAUCUGAGAGAUGUCUGAUUAAUUUCGGACGCCUUUUGGAAAAGUUGCUUAAACCUUACCAUUUAGAGGAAGGUGAAGUCGUAACA